rnacentral:rRNA from 1 species
UACGAAGGGUGCUAGCGUUGUUCGGAAUCACUGGGCGUAAAGCGCACGCAGGCGGAUCGAUAAGUCGGGGGUGAAAGCCCGGGGCUCAACCUCGGAAUUGCCUUCGAUACUGUCGGUCUCGAGUCCGGGAGAGGUGAGUGGAAUUCCUAGUGUAGAGGUGAAAUUCGUAGAUAUUAGGAAGAACACCAGUGGCGAAGGCGGCUCACUCGCCCUGUACUGACGCUCAGGUGCGAAAGCGUGGGGAGCAAACAGG